rnacentral:piRNA from 1 species
UGUGAAGAUUGUCUUUGGACCCUUU